CAGUCGCGCGGUAAUACGGAGGGUGCAAGCGUUAUCCGGAUUUAUUGGGUUUAAAGGGUCCGUAGGCGGAUCUGUAAGUCAGUGGUGAAAUCUCACAGCUUAACUGUGAAACUGCCAUUGAUACUGCAGGUCUUGAGUAAAUUUGAAGUGGCUGGAAUAAGUAGUGUAGCGGUGAAAUGCAUAGAUAUUACUUAGAACACCAAUUGCGAAGGCAGGUCACUAAGAUUUAACUGACGCUGAUGGACGAAAGCGUGGGGAGCGAACAGGAUUAGAUACCCGCGUAGUCCCUGUCUCUUAUACA
rnacentral:rRNA from 1 species